rnacentral:rRNA from 1 species
GACGAACCGAGCGAACGUUGUUCGGAAUCACUGGGCUUAAAGGGCGCGUAGGCGGGUGCUCAAGUCUGUGGUGAAAUCCUCCGGCUCAACCGGAGAACUGCCAUGGAUACUGGGUGUCUCGAGGGUGGGUAGGGGUAUGCGGAACUAUCGGUGGAGCGGUGAAAUGCGUUGAUAUCGAUAGGAACUCCGGUGGCGAAGGCGGCAUACUGGACCACUUCUGACGCUGAGGCGCGAAAGCCAGGGGAGCAAACGGG